rnacentral:rRNA from 1 species
AAAUUGAAGAGUUUGAUCAUGGCUCAGAUUGAACGCUGGCGGCAGGCCUAACACAUGCAAGUCGAACGGUAACAGGAAACAGCUUGCUGUUUCGCUGACGAGUGGCGGACGGGUGAGUAAUGUCUGGGAAACUGCCUGAUGGAGGGGGAUAACUACUGGAAACGGUAGCUAAUACCGCAUAACGUCGCAAGACCAAAGAGGGGGACCUUCGGGCCUCUUGCCAUCGGAUGUGCCCAGAUGGGAUUAGCUAGUAGGUGGGGUAACGGCUCACCUAGGCGACGAUCCCUAGCUGGUCUGAGAGGAUGACCAGCCACACUGGAACUGAGACACGGUCCAGACUCCUACGGGAGGCAGCAGUGGGGAAUAUUGCACAAUGGGCGCAAGCCUGAUGCAGCCAUGCCGCGUGUAUGAAGAAGGCCUUCGGGUUGUAAAGUACUUUCAGCGGGGAGGAAGGGAGUAAAGUUAAUACCUUUGCUCAUUGACGUUACCCGCAGAAGAAGCACCGGCUAACUCCGUGCCAGCAGCCGCGGUAAUACGGAGGGUGCAAGCGUUAAUCGGAAUUACUGGGCGUAAAGCGCACGCAGGCGGUUUGUUAAGUCAGAUGUGAAAUCCCCGGGCUCAACCUGGGAACUGCAUCUGAUACUGGCAAGCUUGAGUCUCGUAGAGGGGGGUAGAAUUCCAGGUGUAGCGGUGAAAUGCGUAGAGAUCUGGAGGAAUACCGGUGGCGAAGGCGGCCCCCUGGACGAAGACUGACGCUCAGGUGCGAAAGCGUGGGGAGCAAACAGGAUUAGAUACCCUGGUAGUCCACGCCGUAAACGAUGUCGACUUGGAGGUUGUGCCCUUGAGGCGUGGCUUCCGGAGCUAACGCGUUAAGUCGACCGCCUGGGGAGUACGGCCGCAAGGUUAAAACUCAAAUGAAUUGACGGGGGCCCGCACAAGCGGUGGAGCAUGUGGUUUAAUUCGAUGCAACGCGAAGAACCUUACCUGGUCUUGACAUCCACAGAACUUUCCAGAGAUGGAUUGGUGCCUUCGGGAACUGUGAGACAGGUGCUGCAUGGCUGUCGUCAGCUCGUGUUGUGAAAUGUUGGGUUAAGUCCCGCAACGAGCGCAACCCUUAUCCUUUGUUGCCAGCGGUCCGGCCGGGAACUCAAAGGAGACUGCCAGUGAUAAACUGGAGGAAGGUGGGGAUGACGUCAAGUCAUCAUGGCCCUUACGACCAGGGCUACACACGUGCUACAAUGGCGCAUACAAAGAGAAGCGACCUCGCGAGAGCAAGCGGACCUCAUAAAGUGCGUCGUAGUCCGGAUUGAGUCUCGCAACUCGACUCCAUGAAGUCGGAAUCGCUAGUAAUCGUGGAUCAGAAUGCCACGGUGAAUACGUUCCCGGGCCUUGUACACACCGCCCGUCACACCAUGGGAGUGGGUUGCAAAAGAAGUAGGUAGCUUAACCUUCGGGAGGGCGCUUACCACUUUGUGAUUCAUGACUGGGGUGAAGUCGUAACAAGGUAACCGUAGGGGAACCUGCGGUUGGAUCACCUCCUUACCUUAAAGAAGC